GGGCACAUGGUGUAGUUGGUUAUCACGCUCGCUUAGCAUUUGGUUCAACGAAUCGUUGAAACUCCUUGCGAGAGGUGUUGGGUUCAAUUCCCAAUGUGUCCA